UGAUGAUGAUGAUGAUGAUGAUGAUAUUGAUAGUGGUGGUGGUGGUGGUGGUUUUGAUGGCAGUGUUUCCGAUGAGAUUGAUGCUAAUGAUGGCCAAUACCAUCAUCACUACCACCACCACCACCAUCAUCAUCAUCAUCAUGAUCAUCA
rnacentral:pre_miRNA from 1 species